rnacentral:rRNA from 1 species
UACGUAGGUGUCGAGCGUUGUCCGGAUUUAUUGGGCGUAAAGAGCCCGCAGGCGGCUUGGCAAGUUUGAGGUGAAAUCUCCCGGCUUAACUGGGAGGGGGCCUCGAAAACUGCCAGGCUUGAGGCAUGGAGAGGUAAGCGGAAUUCCUGGUGUAGCGGUGAAAUGCGUAGAUAUCAGGAGGAACACCGGUGGCGAAGGCGGGUCUCUGGGCCGAUACUGACGCUGAGGAGCGAAAGCGUGGGGAGCGAACAGG